AGAGUUUGAUCCUGGCUCAGAGCGAACGCUGGCGGCAGGCUUAACACAUGCAAGUCGAGCGGGCACUUCGGUGUCAGCGGCGGACGGGUGAGUAACGCGUGGGAACGUGCCCUCUGGUUCGGAAUAACUCAGGGAAACUUGAGCUAAUACCGGAUACGCCCUUUUGGGGAAAGGCUUGCUGCCGGAGGAUCGGCCCGCGUCUGAUUAGCUAGUUGGUGAGGUAACGGCUCACCAAGGCGACGAUCAGUAGCUGGUCUGAGAGGAUGAUCAGCCACACUGGGACUGAGACACGGCCCAGACUCCUACGGGAGGCAGCAGUGGGGAAUAUUGGACAAUGGGCGCAAGCCUGAUCCAGCCAUGCCGCGUGAGUGAUGAAGGCCUUAGGGUUGUAAAGCUCUUUUAUCCGGGACGAUAAUGACGGUACCGGAGGAAUAAGCCCCGGCUAACUUCGUGCCAGCAGCCGCGGUAAUACGAAGGGGGCUAGCGUUGCUCGGAAUCACUGGGCGUAAAGGGCGCGUAGGCGGCGUUUUAAGUCGGNGGUGAAAGCCUGUGG
rnacentral:rRNA from 1 species